rnacentral:rRNA from 1 species
GACGAAGGGGGCAAGCGUUGUUCGGAAUUACUGGGCGUAAAGGGCGCGUAGGCGGCCGGAUAAGUCAGGUGUGAAAGCCCUGGGCUCAACCUGGGAAUGGCACUUGAUACUGUUUGGCUAGAGAGCGGGAGAGGAUGGUGGAAUUCCCAGUGUAGAGGUGAAAUUCGUAGAUAUUGGGAAGAACACCGGUGGCGAAGGCGGCCAUCUGGACCGUAUCUGACGCUGAGGCGCGAAAGCGUGGGGAGCAAACAGGAUUAGAAACCCCCGUAGUCC